GACGAACGCUGGCGGCGUGCUUAACACAUGCAAGUCGAACGGAAAGGCCUGCUUUCCCUUGUGUAUUGCGGGUACUCGCGUGGCGAACGGGUGAGUAACACGUGAGUUAUCUGCCCCCAACUUGGGUAUAAGCCUGGGAAACUGGGUCUAAUUCCCGAUAGGACUGCAGGGUGGUGCCUGUAGUGGAAAACGAUUUUCUAGUGGUUGGGGAUGAGCUCGCGGCCUAUCAGCUUGUUGGUGGGGGAAUGGCCUACCAAGGCGGCGACGGGUAGCCGGCCUGGGGGGGCGGGCGGCAACAUUGGGACUGAGAUACGGGCCCGAAGCCAACGCGAGGCAGCAGAGGGGAAGAAUGCACGAUGGGCGGAAGACUGAUGCAGCGACGCCGCGUGGGCGAUGCCGGGCGUCGGGUUGUAAACUUCUUUUGAUCGCGAGGAAGCCACCUGGUUGGAAGGGUGGUGACGGUAGUGGUAGAAGAAGCACCGGCUAACUACGUG
rnacentral:rRNA from 1 species